rnacentral:sRNA from 1 species
UGGCAUAUCGCUGGCUCGCAGCUGCUUGUAGCAGUAACUCUCUGAGUGGGGCCAGAGUCGGGAAAAGACAGGUAUGGACAGGUAUGGAGUGGACAGUUCAGUGCUUAGAAAGGAUAAACGAGGAAAUGCAAUUAAAUAAGCUUUUACGAAAUGUGCUUUUGGUAUUUAUGCAACCCCAACGAAAAUCGACUUAUUAAUCCCACACAAUAAGAUUACCUUGCAAAUUUAUUUCGGAAUUAAUUGAAAUCAGUUGCUUGUGCAAAUGAAAACUUUAAUUUUUGCCAAUGGCCAAAAUAAUGGAUAAAAUAAUGAAUAGAAAAUGGAAUAGAACAGAUGUAUUUGCACAAUAACUUUAAAUCCAAAAAUUUAAAUGACAAUCAUUAUAAUGAAUGCAAAGCCUUAUAGAGAUAAAACAAACCCCUACAAUCGUGCUUAACACAGUUGUUUCAAAUAUUGCGUGCAACCACUCGACUAUUAAGAGGAGCAUGGCACAACGGAGCAGGUGCUCGACUGGAUUACUUUCGAGAUUCACAGCGCAGUCUAGCAAUGAGAACAUGGCACGGUAAUCUUGGUCAAUGUGGUGCAUGGUUUUGACCGUUUCUGGUUGGAUAGCCAGAUGUGCAACUGCAACCUGAAUGAGACUUAUCACCAAGGAUUUAUCCGCAGCUCGCCAUAUUAUAAGCGCUUGUUCCAGUCCUCCAUGCUCAGCAUACUAUGCAAAUAGCAAAAAAUACGAAUCUGCACUUUAGCCGACUCGACAGUAAUCCACAGCAGAUUUAAAUCUAGUGCUUCAGCUGCUGCGCAAAUUGCAAUUCACUGAGUGGAACAGUAAACCGAACAAAUGCAUUUUUUCCAGAAUUUACGCUGAAUAACUUAGUUUAAUUUUAUGCAGCAAACAGCUUUUCAAGCUGACUGAACGGAUGUGAAUCGGAGUAUCUGAAAAAAUAUAAAACCUUUGACCCAGAGCCGGUGAAAUACAUGUGUUAAUUAUAAACGCGGUUACCAAACAAUCAGCAUUUCGUAUUUAUAUGGAUUAGGUUAAAACUUAUCCAUAAUGCGAUAUAAGUAAUAUUUUAGUUACGAGUACUUUAGUUGU